UACGUAGGGAGCGAGCGUUGUCCGGAUUUAUUGGGCGUAAAGGGCGCGUAGGCGGUUAAGUAAGUCGGGUGUUAAAUCUCCAAGCUCAACUUGGAGCUGCCACUCGAAACCGCUUUGACUUGAGUCUGGUAGGGGAACACGGAAUACCUGGUGUAGCGGUGAAAUGCUUAGAUAUCAGGUGGAACACCAGUGGCGAAGGCGGUGUUCUGGGCCAGUACUGACGCUGAUGCGCGAAAGCGUGGGGAGCGAACAGG
rnacentral:rRNA from 1 species